rnacentral:rRNA from 1 species
GAUGAACGCUGGCGGCAUGCCUAAGACAUGCAAGUUGAACGGAGCGAACUUAUGAAGAUGGAGUGCUUGCACAAAGUUGGAAUUUGACCUCGCUUAGUGGCGAAAGGGUGAGUAACACGUGGGAAUCUGCCUUUGAGACUGGGACAACAGUUGGAAACGACUGCUAAUACCGCAUAAGCCCACGGCUCGGCAUCGAGCAGAGGGAAAAGGAGUAAUCCGCUUUGAGAUGGCCUCGCGUCCGAUUAGCUAGUUGGUGAGGUAAUGGCCCACCAACGGCGACGAUCGGUAGCCGGACUGAGAGGUUGAACGGCCACAUUGGGACUGAGACACGGCCCAGGACUCCUACGGGAGGCAGCAGUGGGAAUAUUGCACAAUGGGGGGAACCCUGAGUGCAGCGACGCCGCGUGGAGGAAGAA